rnacentral:rRNA from 1 species
UACGAAGGGGGCUAGCGUUGCUCGGAAUCACUGGGCGUAAAGCGCACGUAGGCGGUUUGCUAAGUCAGGGGUGAAAUCCUGGAGCUCAACUCCAGAACUGCCUUUGAUACUGGCAACCUUGAGUCCGGGAGAGGUGAGUGGAACUGCGAGUGUAGAGGUGAAAUUCGUAGAUAUUCGCAAGAACACCAGUGGCGAAGGCGGCUCACUGGCCCGGUACUGACGCUGAGGUGCGAAAGCGUGGGGAGCAAACAGG